GGCUGCUGGAGGGCGAGGACGCACACAUCUCUUCCCAGUACUCCUCUGCGAUGUCCUCACACUCUGGUAGAGACGCCAUUACAUCCUCGCGCCAGGUGCGCACCAUCGUGGAGGAGGUGCAGGACGGGAAGGUGGUCUCAUCCCGUGAGCAGGUGGCACUCACCACACGCUAGUGGGACCCACAGCAGCCCCAGGCUCUGCCCGAUGGAGCUGUGAGGCACACAGCUGGCUUCGCCCCUCUGCUUCUCUCCCGACGACUCCUAACCACGUGCAGCUGCCAUCGUGCACUCUGUACACAUUUAAUAAAGCUUUGUUUUUCAUUCA